GACGAACGCUGGCGGCGUGCUUAACACAUGCAAGUCGAACGGAAAGACCCUGCUUUUGCGGGGUUCUCGAGUGGCGAGCGGGUGAGUAACACAUGAGUAACCUGCCCUUGACGGUGGGAUAACUUCAGGAAACUGCGGCUAAUACCGGAGAGGAGCUCCUGCAGCAUGGGGGGGGUUGGAAAGUUUCGUCUGUUGUGGAUCGACUCGGGGCUUAUCAGCUUGUUGGUGGGGUAGUGGCUUACCAAGGCUUUGACGGCUAGCCUGCCUGGGAGCGUGAACGGGCACCAUACGCCUGCGAUAGGGACCAGUCGCGAACAUGAGGCAAUGGUCGAGAAUAUGGCACAAUGGGCCGGAGUGUGAUAAAGAAACGCUCCGUGCGUAAUGCCGGGUUUCUGGUUGUAAACCGCUUUCGGUUGUGACGAAGCGUUAGUGACGGUAAUGAGUAAAGAAGCACCGGCUAACUACGUG
rnacentral:rRNA from 1 species